rnacentral:snoRNA from 1 species
AACUUUGUCCAAAAAGUUUUCCAUCACUAUAGACAGUGCAUUAUAAUUGGUGUCUAUAAAACAUCACUUUAGCUUUGACGGUUAGUCAAACCCACGCACUUUACAAGGCUUCAGUUUUUGAAUGUUCCUUUCGCUGUGGUGAGGAUUAAACCUGAUUUCUAAUGGGUGAAUAUUUAUAUGACCAUUGUUUUUCAAUCAAUAUUAAAUGCGAUGCGUUGAUGGAUAGAAUAAAACCAAUUGUAUCUUUUAAGAACCUGUCUGGAUUGUUAUAAAAUGAAAGAGAGGUGUCAGUAGGUGCAAAUAUUU